GGUUUUAUAGUUUAAAUAUAAUAAAUAUUAAAUUGCAAAUUUAAAGAUGAAUAAAAAAAUUCUAAAACUU
rnacentral:tRNA from 1 species